GAUGAACGCUGGCGGCGUGCCUAAUACAUGCAAGUCGAGCGAACAGAUGAGGAGCUUGCUCCUCUGACGUUAGCGGCGGACGGGUGAGUAACACGUGGAUAACCUACCUAUAAGACUGGGAUAACUUCGGGAAACCGGAGCUAAUACCGGAUAAUAUAUUGAACCGCAUGGUUCAAUAGUGAAAGACGGUUUUGCUGUCACUUAUAGAUGGAUCCGCGCCGCAUUAGCUAGUUGGUAAGGUAACGGCUUACCAAGGCAACGAUGCGUAGCCGACCUGAGAGGGUGAUCGGCCACACUGGAACUGAGACACGGUCCAGACUCCUACGGGAGGCAGCAGUAGGGAAUCUGCCGCAAUGGGCGAAAGCCUGACGGAGCGACGCCGCGUGAGUGAUGAAGGUCUUCGGAUCGUAAAACUCUGUUAUUAGGGAAAAACAAAUGUGUAAGUAACUAUACACGUCUUGACGGUACCUAAUCAGAAAGCCACGGCUAACUACGUG
rnacentral:rRNA from 1 species